GAUGAACGCUGGCGGCGUGCCUAAUACAUGCAAGUCGAGCGAACGGACGAGAAGCUUGCUUCUCUGAUGUUAGCGGCGGACGGGUGAGUAACACGUGGAUAACCUACCUAUAAGACUGGGAUAACUUCGGGAAACCGGAGCUAAUACCGGAUAAUAUUUUGAACCGCAUGGUUCAAAAGUGAAAUACGGUCUUGCUGUCACUUAUAGAUGGAUCCGCGCUGCAUUAGCUAGUUGGUAAGGUAACGGCUUACCAAGGCAACGAUGCAUAGACGACCUGAGAGAGUGAUCGGCGACACGGGAGCUGGGCCACGGUCAAUACUACUGAGGGAGGCCGCAGUAGGGAAUCGGACGCAGUGGGCGGAAGCAUGACAGAGCAACGGGACGUGAGAGAUGGAAGUCUUCGGAUCGGAAAACCCUCUUAUUAGGGAAGAACAUAUGUGUAAGUAAAUGAGGAGAUAUUGACGGUACCGAAUCAGAAAGCCCCGGCUAACUACGUG
rnacentral:rRNA from 1 species